rnacentral:rRNA from 1 species
UGGGGAAUUUUGCACAAUGGGGGAAACCCUGAUGCAGCGACGCCGCGUGAUUUAGAAGGCCUUCGGGUUGUAAAAAUCUUUUCUAUGGGAAGAAAAUGACAGUAUCAUAGGAAUAAGGACCGGCUAAUUACGUGCCAGCAGCCGCGGUAAUACGUAAGGUCCGAGCGUUGUCCGGAAUCAUUGGGCGUAAAGGGUACGUAGGCGGGUAAGCAAGAUAGAAGUGAAAUCCUAUAGCUCAACUAUAGUAAGCUUUUAAAACUGAUCAUAUUGAGGUAUGGAAGGGAAGGUGUAAGUCCUAGUGUAGCGGUGAAAUGCGCAGAUAGUAGGAGGAAUACCGGUGGCGAAGGCGACUUUCUGGCCAUAACCUGACGCUGAGGUACGAAAGCGUGGGUAGCAAACAGG